UGCCAAACUUAUCUUAGACAUAAUUGGUUAAUUAGUUUUGAUUUGACCAACCUAAUGAUUCGGAUUAAACCACUAAGCCAUAAUCAAGAUCCAUUUGGUUUAAUCAAAGAUAUGGACUUGACCAUCUACAACUAUUGUAUUAGAGAAAUCUUGAUUAAUCUAAUUCAAUAUUUGGUUGAACUUAAUCAAUUUCUUUAUAUGGUCA
rnacentral:lncRNA from 1 species